GCGUAGGGUGGAGUACGCAAUUGCUUGGGCCAAAGGUGCAUUUAAAUCAUGGCCUAGGGGGUGUGCACAUAGCAACUUCUACUUCGGCUAAGGGCAUUGAGCCCAACAUAAGCUUGACAAGAGGGGGAGAGAUCAGUGUUCCUUAGCCUCUCAUUCCAUGUUUUCAAAAAAAGAAAACCUCACCUAAGUUAAUUAAACUCCACCGCAUCAGAAGUUGCUCCGGUGGCGGCAGAGGUUCAAACCCCCCAAACAACAUAUCAGUCUCUUCGUCUGACUAUCCUCCUCAAUAAUCUGACCUUAAACCUCCCUAAUUCUCUAUUAAUCAUUCAAUCCUAUCCAAUUUCAAGAUGAACCCUAAACCACUCCUUUUUGAAAUUAAACGCAGAAUCAGAGGAAUCAAAGCCUAAUGUGUUAGGGCUUUGCUUCCUCACGCAUCCUACUACAUUAUGAUAAUCGAAUUCAGGCGAAAAUGGAAGAGGAAGCAUGAGCUCUUACCUACGAGGAGGAGGAAUUCCUCAGUGAAGGUUGGAUUUCGAAUACGAUGAAGGCUAAUGACAAAAAAUACCAGAGGAAUCUUCAAUACAAGUUGUUUUGGUAGGGAAGCUUUAAACAUCAUGAAGCCAAGUUCAUAAACCUACUUGAAGUAAGGCAAAAAUCAAAGAGGGAAUUGGCUUGAUAUGGAUUUUUGAUGAGAGUGUGAGGUCAAAACAUGGAACACCAAUUGUGGAAGAAUAAAAUGGGGGAGUUAUGGUUUGGGAAUGUAGUUGACUUUGGUCAACUGUUUGACCAAACAGUCAACCUAGGUUAAAAAUAUGAUUUUUUUUGUAAAGUCUUGGAUUUUGUGUAGUGUAAUGGCUUGUAAUUGGAUGUAAAUAUUGAUGACUUUGUAAUGAAUUUGUAUGGCCUUAUGAAUGAAAGACGGAUUGAAUGGUA